CUCUGACUCAUACACACACGCGCAUACAUAGACCUGCGCAGUACACUAGCUGUAUGUGUGCUAGAAUAUUGCAUGCUCUCUCCGGGACUAGCAUGAGGAAAACAGGCCUAUCACUUCACACACACAGUCCAUGUCCUAAGGAAGUUAGGAAUUCAUCUGGAUGCUAUUAUAGUUAGUAGGUACAGUACAUUUUGGCAGUGAAAAGUAGUUCCUGUUUAGUCCAGUUCCUCUGUGCUUUCAGGAACAUAGAGUGAGUUUAGAACAGCAGAUCAACGCUCCUUCCAGUUCUCUCACUGGAAUGGGUUGCUUUAGAGAACUAUAGCUGUUUCCUAGCUCCUUAGUUUUUGUUUCCCAAUCGAAAGUGUCCCACGGGUCUGUCCCUACAAGCACACUUAAACUCCUCCAGAUGUUUUCAAAUGAUGGUUUAGAGUGCCAACAGAAAUUCACCUCCACGUCCCAUUCCCUAUCUUCGUCUUUGAAGUCACGCAGAUGAAAACAAGCAUUGGGGGAACUUAUUCUGGGCUCCUAUGAAAUUACCAGUAGGUGUCUUUUCUUGUUUAUCAAAAAAAAAAGUAUCUUUCAACACACUCCUGUUUCAGCCGAUUAGAUACAAGUCAAUGUAAUAAAAUGCUUUUUUAACCCUCAUACUACCAACAUCUUUUACAUACAUGGAUUACCAACUGGGGUCAUGUUGACCCGGAGAAGAAACUAUUGGAAAAAGCAACAAUCAUAGCAAAAUAUCAACAUAUUUCUUAUUAAAACAUUAUUAGUCAUGUAAAUAAUGUGUAUCUGAAAUGAAACAAAAUAGUCAAAACAGAUUGUUAUUCUAGCAAUCAUUUUAAUAUUCUGUAAAACAAAAAUAUAUAUUCCCUUAAAUGAUAUGCAGCUCUUUUUUAGAAGUACAAUCCACAUUUGUACUAAAAAGCUGAUUUACCAUAAUUUGGUUGAAGUAUAAUUUAGUUCUUAGAAUUUUUAAGUAAAUACUAAUUUUGUCAUAUUUGGUCAAAUCGACUCCCAUUUAAGGGGUGGUACACCAACAUUUGAAGUAUUCUUAAUUUGAUUCGUCCAUUGGUCCUGAGAGACAAUGAACAAAAAUAUGGCAUAGUUUUAUUUAUUUAUUUACCUCACAGAUAGCAUUUGCAUCGCUGCUAGUGAAACAAUGGGAGUGGUAAGGCCGUGGUAAGGCCUAUGGCAGGGUGCUUCAAAAAGCAUGCCCAAAUCCUCAAUGUCACGUUAAACCAAAUGUAAACCAAAUGUAGCAACCAAAGUACCAUAACAAGUUGCACAUAUAACAUAUAGUAUAGGAUUUCUGCUAUUUAUGUAACAUUUCCUGGAGAAUAACUAUUAUUUGGAGAAUACACACCAAUACAGCACUAUGUGUACAUUCGGAGGGUAGGUGAUUCCUUUACUCUAGUUCUAUCAAGUAUUCAUACCACUGACAGACUUUAUAUGAGUUGUUUUGACUGCAACUAAGCAUAUAUGUAAGGUCAUUUUGAUUCUGUACACAGUCAUACCUAAUUAUAAACAGUAAUAACCAUAGGUGAGUAUAUAAGGUGCUCCAUCUCUGCAGGUGAUAUAUUUAUCUGGUCAAAAUCACUAAUACAGGUCACCCUUCACCCUCUGAUGAUAUGUAGAACUUAAUAUUAUGUCUCCAUAGUAUUCUGGAUUAAAAUACACUCUGAAUCUACAGAGAAAAGUCUGAGUUCUGUAAUUGCAGUUCUAUCAAGUAUUUAUAUGAGUUUUAUAUGCACAAAAAGAAGGUCAUUCUCCUUUUGUGCACAGUCAUUUGAUACGUGAUAUAGAAAAGUACAAACUUAGUACAUGGGGAGCUAUAUCUCUGCAGAUGAUCUGUCUGUCUGGUUACAAUCGCUGAUACAGGUCCCCAUCCAAACCUCUGGUGGUAAGGAUAACUUGUUCUUACGCCUCCAGAGAAACCUAGAUUCAAAUAAAUGUCCUGUUCAUCCAAUUACUAUAGGUGGAAUUAUGUGUGGGUUAUUAUGUGUCCAUAUUGAUACAGGAACACUUAACAAUGAUUUAGAUGUAUUGAGAACAAGCUGACUGACAAAGUCACGAUGAUGCUGUCUACACAUAAUGCACAAACAGGGCCGAUGGAGAAAUGUUGUUUUUCAUCACAAAAGGGGCGGCUCUUGUAAUGCGCUCCAGCAUUCAACACAGUUUUUUCCUACCUGGAAAUUGAGACCCGACAUACUAUUCCUUGCAAAGACUGAGGGGAAGUGUGAGGUGAGUUUUGCACUCUUUCAUGGAGAAAGAUUUGGGACCGGUAUGUUCACAAUAUGAAAAGGGUGAAGGAGACAAGGAGUGGGGCUGCCUCUGGUGUGUCCCCUACCGAUUUUCAGACAACUGGAUUGGCUUCGUGUUCACGGGAGACAUCGUCAGACAGACACAGACGCAAAUAUGCCAGAAACGGUAUGUACUCGUCAUGCAACCGAGUCCUUUUGUAUAGUCAGUGUGUGUGUUUGUGACCUUAUGUUUAGCAGACAUAGUUAGAACAUGUGAAAUCAGUUAUUUUCUGGAUGUGAGAAAUUGUGUGUUAUCAUAAUGAAUACCAGGCUAGUUCAAACAUCAGAAAACAGACAGUGUGUUGUGUUAUCUAGAUUGAGAUGUUGAUGAAAUCAGUUAUUUGGGGUAAACAUUUUAACUCAAAGGUGCCAAUGGAGAUGUUUUAAGAUUGCUUACAAUGUAUUCUAAUACAUUCGCCAUCUUCUUGUCGGUGUUGGAGGGAGUGGUGUGUUGGACAGUCCAGAGACGGAGCUGAGCCCUGAGGGCCCAUCUACAGAUCCAAUGGCCGGAAGAGGAAGGCAACGGAGGAUCCUUUGGACACUGACAUUAUGCAGUGGGUAGAUGACUUA